rnacentral:rRNA from 1 species
UGGGGAAUAUUGCGCAAUGGGCGAAAGCCUGACGCAGCAACGCCGCGUGAGUGAUGAAGGCCUUCGGGUCGUAAAGCUCUGUCGGAGGGAACGAAUGCUCCUGAAGUUAACAGCCUCAGGAGGUGACGGUACCCUCAAAGGAAGCACCGGCUAACUCUGUGCCAGCAGCCGCGGUAAUACAGAGGGUGCAAGCGUUGUUCGGAAUCAUUGGGCGUAAAGGGCGUGUAGGCGGUAUGUUAAGUCAUGUGUGAAAUCCCUCGGCUCAACCGGGGAACGACGCAUGAAACUGGCAAGCUAGAGUACCAAGAGGGUGUGGAAUUCCCGGUGUAGCGGUGAAAUGCGU